UGGAUAGCUCAGUUGGUUAGAGUGUGGUGCUGAUAAUGCCAAGGCUUCAAGUUUGAUCCCUGUAUGGAUCAG